rnacentral:lncRNA from 1 species
GGCUGCUGUUGCUGGGGUGGAGGGCAGACUUGAGUUUCCCACCCACGCCUGGCUGUUGCUGCAGUCGGGGGAGGGGAAAAGGGCAGACUGGAAUUUUCCGCCCUGCGCCUGCGCAGGGAGAAAGAAGAAGAAGGGUGCCGCCCCACAGGCAUCGUGUGGCGCCAUCCGGGAGGAGGGGCGGCCGCGGAAGCAUGGCUGCCGAGAAGGGGAGACCCGAGGGCACUCUGCGCCCAUGCCGAGCUUCCUUCAGGGGUGGCGGUGAGUCCGACCAGCCACCCUAUUAUGGGGGCAGCGGCUUGGCCUGCCGCGGCUGCUCCCCCGCCAGGCCAGCAAACCGCACUUCAGCCCGAGGGGUGACCGCAGCGAUGGGCUCCAGGCUCCUCUGCAGUGUGGCCCUUUGUCUCCUGGGAGCAGGUGCAGUGGAUUCUGAAGUCAUACAAACACCAAGUCACCUGAUUAGAACCAAGGACAGGAAGUGACACUGAAAUGUUCCCCUAUGUCCGGGCAUAACAAUGUCUACUGGUACCAACAGGCCAGAGGCCAGGAACCCCAGUUCCUGGUUAGAUAUUUCAAUGGGGAAGAGACUGAAAGAGGAAACAUCCCAAAUCGAUUCUCAGGUCUGCAGUUCGGUGACUAUCGCUCUGAGCCAACGUGAGCUCCUUGCAGCUGGAGGACUCAGCGCUGUAUCUUUGUGCCAGCAGCUUGGGCACAGCCCUGCAGAGUCACCAAUGUUCUGUGCGCAAACCUUCCUGCCUCAGCAGCAAGGAGCAACCUCAGAUCUGACACACCUGUGAGAAGCUAAAGACUACAGUAGGAAAGAAAAAUGGUUUAAAGUUCCUUCGAGGUGACACCUUCUACAGAGAAUGUUGCAGCAUCAACAGGUUUAUUAGAAAAAUAUCUUCUUUGUCUUUUACUGUAUGCUACAAAGAUAAGAAAAAUUUAAUCUCUGGUACCAUCUAUUUUUGGGAGGUCAAUUUCAUUUUAGGGUCAAAUUAUUUGAUUAGUGCCUAGUGUAAAAGCUACUAUGUGACUUCUCACACCAAACUUGCCUCCUCAUUGCACAGUCAUGUACUUUCCAAAACAAAAAUCUGUUUUUGUUACAUUGAUUAUAAACAUACAAAUACUCUCUGGUUUCCCGUGAAAUAAAUUCUACUUCCCUAUAAUAGGUGUUUAACACUUCACAACCAAAUUUAAUUUACCUUCUCAGCAUCACUCCUUGUCAGUUUUAAGAUGCAUCUUAACUCUGUGACUAGGCAGCCCUUCAAAUAAUUACCUAAGACCAAAGAUGUCUAUUAAAUUUUCUGCUUUUGCUCUUGCUAUUUCCACGGACUGAAAAGACCUUUUCUUCCCUGAAAACUUGGACAUAUACUAAUCAUAUUUCAAAGCCUGGUUCAAACAUGUCUUCCUUUUUACUUUUUACCAUGAAUCUCAAGGCAUUAUACUACAUUGCUCUCUUUACUUUCUGGUUUCUUUUUAAUUUUCACUCUGUUAAUUAAUUUUGAAUAAAUAAAAUAAUGACAAUGUUUUAAGAACCUAUAAAGAUAAAAAGUCCACAGUGAAAGCCUCCCUAAAGGCCUACUUUUUGCUAAUCCAGCUGCCUACCUCUUCUAGACUUCCAAGGGGAUAAUUGUCAUUAUUCACAUCUGUGUGCCCUUCUCAAAAAUUGUUAUACAUACCAAAAGAAGGUAAAAUAUAUAUUUCUUGGUUACCCCUACAUUUUGAAGAAAUGCAAAUAUUCUGUGCAUGCUGUUCAGAAAGGUUUUUUCCCCACUUGACAUAGCUUGGAUAUAUUGAACAUCUAGUAGGUGCCUGGCAACAUAAGAAGUUACUUGAGGAUAACACAAAUACUCUAUGUCGACUUUUCAUCACAAUAUACUCCUAGAAAUAGUCACAAUGUAGUCAUUAACUAGACCUUAUACUGACAUAUGAACAGUAAUGUAAUUGGGAGAUUACUUGCAUAGGAAAACCCUAGAACACAAUUAAUACUGUUAUUUCUGAAAAUAAAUUAAUAUGCACUUAUAAAGAACCAUGAAAUAUUAUUCCCUACAAACUGUUUCAUCUUUACAAGGGCCU